UACGUAGGGUGCGAGCGUUGUCCGGAAUUACUGGGCGUAAAGAGCUCGUAGGCGGUUUGUCGCGUCUGCUGUGAAAACCUAAGGCUCAACCUUGGGCUUGCAGUGGGUACGGGCAGACUAGAGUGCGGUAGGGGUGACUGGAAUUCCUGGUGUAGCGGUGGAAUGCGCAGAUAUCAGGAGGAACACCGAUGGCGAAGGCAGGUCACUGGGCCGCAAACUGACGCUGGAGGAGCGGAAAAGCAUG
rnacentral:rRNA from 1 species